UACGAAGGGGGCUAGCGUUGCUCGGAAUCACUGGGCGUAAAGGGUGCGUAGGCGGGUCUUUUAAGUCAGGGGUGAAAUCCUGGAGCUCAACUCCAGAACUGCCUUUGAUACUGAAGAUCUUGAGUUCGGGAGAGGUGAGUGGAACUGCGAGUGUAGAGGUGAAAUUCGUAGAUAUUCGCAAGAACACCAGUGGCGAAGGCGACUCACUGGCCCGAUACUGACGCUGAGGCACGAAAGCGUGGGGAGCAAACAGGG
rnacentral:rRNA from 1 species